ACACUCCCUCCCCGCCCUUGCAGUGUCCUUUAGUCCUUCGUGAAUAAAUCGAAAUUAAAUGAAGCAAAUGCUUUUUUGAAGGCAAAUUUGGUGCCAAGGACCAUCCUAAGUGAUUCAGAUGGCCUCACAAGGCAGAAGCAACUCAAGUGUUCAACAAAUAAAUGGAUAAGCAAAAUGUGGUAUGACCAUGCCAUGGAAUAUUAUUCUGGCAGAAACAAGAAUGAAGUACUGAUACAUGCUACAACAUGAAUGAACCUUGACAACAUGCUGAGUGAAAUAAGCCAGACACGAAAAGACAAACACAGUGUGAUUGUAUUUAUGUGAAAUAUCUAGAGUAGGCAAAUUCAUAGAGACAGAAAGUAGACUUGAGAUUACCACAGGUUUGGGGGACAGGGAAUCUGAGUUAUUGUUUAAUGGAUAUAGAGUUUCAGAUUGGAGUCAUUAAAAAGAUUUGGAAAUAGUGUUUAUGGUUGCAUAGUACUGUGAAUGUACUUAAUGCCGCUGAAUUGUAUGUUUUAAAAUGGUUACACUGGCACAUUUUAUGUAGUAUACAUUUUACCACAAUAAAAA
rnacentral:lncRNA from 10 species